GAUUCCGUGGUUGUAGCGGUUAUCACGUGAGUCUAACACACUCAAGGUCCCGGUUCGAUCCCGGGCGGAAUCA